rnacentral:rRNA from 1 species
UACAGAGGGGGCCAGCGUUAUUCGGAAUUAUUGGGUUUAAAGGGUGCGUAGGUGGUCUAUUAAGUCAGUGCUGAAAUAUCCCGGCUUAACCGGGAGGGUGGCAUUGAUACUGAUGGACUUGAGUAAAGUUGAGGUGGGCGGAAUUGACGGUGUAGCGGUGAAAUGCUUAGAUAUCGUCAAGAACACCUAUUGCGAAGGCAGCUCACUAAGCUUUAACUGACACUGAGGCACGAAAGUGUGGGGAUCAAACAGG